GCAUACGUUUGGAUUUAUGUCUGGCUCAUCCCCUAGGGCCCCUCACAGUGUCCCAUGCCCGAACAAAUGGGCCCUGAACAGCCUGGCCUGUGGCUGCUGGCACUGAAGUGACUUGCACAGUG
rnacentral:snoRNA from 1 species